rnacentral:rRNA from 1 species
CUGCACACGUGCUACAAUGGCCGGUACAAUGGGCUGGCGGAUGGGGUGACCCGGAGCGAAUCCCACAAAACCGGCCCCAGUUCGGAUCGAAGGCUGCAACUCGCCCUCGUGAAGUCGGAGUUGCUAGUAAUCGCGGAUCAGCAUGCCGCGGUGAAUACGUUCCCGGGCCUU